AACGCUAGCUACAGGCUUAACACAUGCAAGUCGAGGGGAAACGACAUCGAAAGCUUGCUUUUGGUGGGCGUCGACCGGCGCACGGGUGAGUAACGCGUAUCCAACCUGCCCACCACUUGGGGAUAACCUUGCGAAAGUAAGACUAAUACCCAAUGAUAUCCCACGAAGGCAUCCGAAUGGGAUUAAAGAUUUAUCGGUGAUGGAUGGGGAUGCGUCUGAUUAGCUUGUUGGCGGGGUAACGGCCCACCAAGGCAACGAUCAGUAGGGGUUCUGAGAGGAAGGUCCCCCACAUUGGAACUGAGACACGGUCCAAGCUCCUACGGGAGGCAGCAGUGAGGAAUAUUGGUCAAUGGGCGAGAGCCUGAACCAGCCAAGUAGCGUGCAGGAUGACGGCCCUAUGGGUUGUAAACUGCUUUUAUAAGGGAAUAAAGUGAGUCUCGUGAGACUUUUUGCAUGUACCUUAUGAAUAAGGACCGGCUAAUUCCGUGCCAGCAGCCGCGGUAAUACGGAAGGUCCGGGCGUUAUCCGGAUUUAUUGGGUUUAAAGGGAGCGUAGGCCGGAGAUUAAGCGUGUUGUGAAAUGUAGUGGCUCAACCUCUGCACUGCAGCGCGAACUGGUCUUCUUGAGUACGCACAACGUGGGCGGAAUUCGUGGUGUAGCGGUGAAAUGCUUAGAUAUCACGAAGAACUCCGAUUG
rnacentral:rRNA from 1 species